CUAACAUCAUCUGAGACGGCGCUUCAUAUUCACCGUCUGUAUCUUUUCAUCUUCAGAUUUAAUUUUCUUUAAAUCAAAUUUCUUGAUAUUGUUGAAUAUGAUUUUGUUUCUGAAAUCGAAUUAGAAAAUUAGAUUUGUUUAGAGGAGGCUAUGAUGAUAUAUAAGUCAUGCACCACUCAGAGUGAUUUGAUUUUCAUCAAAUCAGUUGCUGAUAAACGACUCACCAUAACUAUUCUGAGCCUUGAAAAUCAACUUUAUAUUCAUUAAUUUGUUGUUCUUAGUUCAGAUCUAUUGUUUUUGAAGAUUUAUUUUUAUCUUUUUUAGUUUUCAUUUAGGAUUUUUGAUUGAGGGAAAUAAGAAAGAUCCAAAUGAUGGGUCCUUUGCGGCCAACCAUGAUGCGGACCGUACAGUAAUAACAUUGCUGUUGGGGAUAAAAAUUUGGUCUCUGAUGGUUCUUUCUUUUUUCCAUUCUAACAUGUAUGUUGCUUCCAAUCUGUUUACCUCGGGAUUCAUUAUCCUGUUCUGGUUGUAAUUAAUCCAUUGACUUCCAACGGGAGAUAAGUGGUGCAAUUGGUUGAGAUUGUUAAUGAACACACGGUGAAGUAUGAUUCUCUCAAUGAAAAUGUUGUUAAUAUUGAUGAUGCUCUAGGAAUUGUGAAUUGGAACUUAAAUUUUUUAUUUUUCUGAUAUUUUUCAAGUUCUGUUUCACAAUUUCCAGUACAUUAAUCAAGCUGCACUGUGUUUGAUUACAACAGUAAAUCACCUCAAAUAAUCUUUUGUACAGCAUCACAAUCUUUUCAGUAUAUCAUUUCUUGUUUUUUUUGUACUGAUCAGCAUUAGCCCUCUCUAGUUAUGACCUUUGUGUUAUAGAUGCUAGCAUUUUCCCUAGCAAUACUUGGUGAAAUUAUAUGCUUAUCUUAGAAAGAGAUUGAAACUUUCAAUUUUUUUUAUUUUGAUUGUAAAGUUAUAUCUACGUAUAAGAAAAAGGGAUUGAGCAUUGAGGGAGUAAAGACUCUCUAUCUUGCAUACUACAAUGUUAUUGCACUGCCAAAAAGGGCAAAAUAUCUCUUCUGCGGGGCUAACCUCUCGAACCCACAGCUACAAAUCUUGGGUCGAUGCUUGGAACAGAAAUCGAACAAGACACACAGCCGGAUCACCGAUCUUAAAUCCACCAUUUAUAUAAUAUACACAAACGAGUAGUACAACCAGUUCAGCUCGUUCCUGAAAAUGCUCAGCAGCAAAUUCUUGCAAAUGCUUUGGUCAUGUAAUUGGAUUUAUGCAACAAAUUUUUUUUUGGGCAUUUUGGGGAUGCAGCUGCGCUGAUUGACAAAAUGUUCCUUGGAGUAUUUACAGUUGCAAAUGAAGAAGAAUAAUUUGGGUUUGAUGCAUAGGGGUGAACAUGGAACGUGGUUGUGAUGGUGUGUUUAUGAGAGUAAAGCUCGGAAAGUCGAUAGCAUAAGCAAAAAGGUCAGUAGCUAUCUCCAUUCACUAGUUUGCAUAAGUGCCAGACUUUUCUCUCCGUAUCUUCAUAUCCCUUUGAAAUUGAUGAUCGUAGUACUGUACAUGAGAAACUGUUAAUUUUUAGGGACUUUCCAAUACAGUAGUGGAAAGCCAAUACAUAUACAGUGUUUUGUAAUUCAUCUUUUAUUGGUGAUGGAAACAUUUUCCUGUUCGGUAAAA